CCCUUAGAUGUUCUGGGCCGCAAGCGCGCUACACUGACGAAUGCAACGAGCUUAUAACCUUGGCCGAAAGGUCUGGGUAAUCUCCAAAUUUCGUCGUGAUGGGGAUAGAUUAUUGCAAUUAUUAAUCUUCAACGAGGAAUGCCUAGUAAGCGCAAGUCAUCAGCUUGCGUUGAUUACGUCCCUGCCCUUUGUACACACCGCCCGUCGCUCCUACCGAUUGAAUGGUCCGGUGAAGCGUUCGGACCGUGGCCUUUGGACGGUUCGCCGUCUGUUGGCUGCGGGAAGUUCGUUAAACCUUAUCAUUUAGAGGAAGGAGAAGUCGUAACA
rnacentral:rRNA from 1 species